rnacentral:lncRNA from 1 species
GGACCAACUGACUGCACUUCAUAAGGCAUAAGAGAGAAUAGGACACACACAUGUGCAUAUAUAUCAUGAGGAUCCUUAUAAUAUUCUGAAGGAGAAAGAAUCAAGCAUAGAAAUAUCACCAGAUCCCAGAUGAGGAAACUGAGUCCCAGGAAGAGAAGUGACUUGUUCCAUGAAGGGUAAAUUAAAAAUACUGAUGACUUGUUAAAUUCUCUCUCCACUGGAAAUGAAGAAAUAUCUCCUCUUGAUUCAUAGGGUUUGAAGGCCAAACCUAAGGGCACAGCAUAAAGCCACUGCCUUAGGCAU